UAAUAAGUGUUUUAUGAGCACCUUUUAAAUCCAUAUCCACCCUUGUGUGCAAUGUCAGCUCGAUCUUCUAUCAUGGUAGAUUGACCAAACAUCAACCUUUUAUUUUUAACUCUUUGUCUGAAAAAUAUUAUGAAUAAACAAUUCAAAAUA
rnacentral:misc_RNA from 1 species